rnacentral:piRNA from 1 species
CCGGAAACAGAAUCACGAGCGUUUAAA